rnacentral:lncRNA from 1 species
GCCAAACUCUUGUUUGGCAAGAAUUCAUGCAAUCAGAAUCUCCACCGAGGCUAGGCAAAACAAAGACUGGGACUUUGAGAUCAAGGGAUAUUUUUCUGAUGUAGGAUUGUUGACUCAAGAGGCAACACAAUGGCACAUGUAAUAAUCCCUACUCAUGAAAGAAUAUAUAAAAAGUUUCAUUCUUAGUUUCUAUUGAAAUUCUGAAUGUUUGGAUUGGUUUAUUGAUCACAAUGAAACACAGAUAGGGGUAAAGAAGGAGUUGAUGGCAAGCAAGGAUCUCUACCAUGUUGUGGUGACACCAGACAUGGAUCAAGCUUUUGUUAUUGGGGUCAUUACCAUUCUUGAUUACAUAUAUGUUGAAUCCACUAGGUGCUAGUAAUUCUUAUAUUCAAGAGAAGCUGUACUAAUUGGGGAGGUAUCUUCACAAUCUGAAGAUUUAAAGUUGAAAAAAGGACCUAAAACUCAAAAAACCCAGCUGCUGUUUUAGCCUAGAAAUUUGAAGUUUUUCG